UGGGGAAUAUUUGACAAUGGGGGGAACCCUGAUCCAGCCAUGCCGCGUGUGUGAAGAAGGUCUUCGGAUUGUAAAGCACUUUAAGUUGGGAGGAAGGGCAGUAAGCGAAUACCUUGCUGUUUUGACGUUACCGACAGAAUAAGCACCGGCUAACUCUGUGCCAGCAGCCGCGGUAAUACAGAGGGUGCAAGCGUUAAUCGGAAUUACUGGGCGUAAAGCGCGCGUAGGUGGUUCGUUAAGUUGAAUGUGAAAGCCCCGGGCUCAACCUGGGAACUGCAUCCAAAACUGGCGAGCUAGAGUAGGGCAGAGGGUGGUGGAAUUUCCUGUGUAGCGGUGAAAUGCGUAGAUAUAGGAAGGAACACCAGUGGCGAAGGCGACCACCUGGGCUCAUACUGACACUGAGGUGCGAAAGCGUGGGGAGCAAACAGG
rnacentral:rRNA from 1 species